rnacentral:rRNA from 1 species
GAUGAACGCUGGCGGCGUGCCUAAUACAUGCAAGUCGAGCGAACAGACGAGGAGCUUGCUCCUCUGACGUUAGCCGCGGACGGGUGAGUAACACGUGUAUAACCUACCUAUAAUACUGGGAUAACUUCGGGAAACGGGCGCUAAUACCGGAGAAUAUAUUGAACCGCAUGGGUGGAUGGUGAAAUACGGUUUUGCUGUCACUUCUAGAUGGAUCUUCGCCGCAUUAGCUAGUUGGUAAGGUAACGGCUUACCAAGGCAACGUUGCGUAGCCGACCUGAGGGGGUGACUGGCCACCCUGGGACGGAGACCGGGUCCAGACGCCCAGGGGAGGCACCAGUAGGGAAUCGUGAGGCAUGGGCGGAAGCCUGAGGGAAAAACGCCGCGGGAGGGAUGAAGGUCUCCGGAUGGUAAAAGUCGGCUAUCAGGGAAGAACAAAUUUGUAAGUAAGUAGGCGCGUCUUGAAGGUAACUAAGUAGAAAGCCACGGGUAACUUCGUG